rnacentral:piRNA from 1 species
UUGGAAUGUCAAUAUUUUUCUGUGGUUAGU